GAGAUUGGAAUUCCUGGUGUAGCGGUGGAAUGCGCAGAUAUCAGGAGGAACACCGAUGGCGAAGGCAGAUCUCUGGGCCGUAACUGACGCUGAGGAGCGAAAGGGUGGGGAGCAAACAGGCUUAGAUACCCUGGUAGUCCACCCCGUAAACGUUGGGAACUAGUUGUGGGGUCCAUUCCACGGAUUCCGUGACGCAGCUAACGCAUUAAGUUCCCCGCCUGGGGAGUACGGCCGCAAGGCUAAAACUCAAAGGAAUUGACGGGGACCCGCACAAGCGGCGGAGCAUGCGGAUUAAUUCGAUGCAACGCGAAGAACCUUACCAAGGCUUGACAUAUACGAGAACGCUGCAGAAAUGUAGAACUCUUUGGACACUCGUAAACAGGUGGUGCAUGGUUGUCGUCAGCUCGUGUCGUGAGAUGUUGGGUUAAGUCCCGCAACGAGCGCAACCCUCGUUCUAUGUUGCCAGCACGUAAUGGUGGGAACUCAUGGGAUACUGCCGGGGUCAACUCGGAGGAAGGU
rnacentral:rRNA from 1 species